AUGAGCUGCCCUGUCGACAUGUUCGGCCCACUGCCGGACGAGGUCCUCUGCCACGUGCUCUCCUUCCUGCCCUCGCGCGAGGCCGUGCAGACGUGCUGCCUCGCCCGCCGCUGGAGCCACCUCUGGAAAUCCGUCCCCGCCAUCCGCGUCCGCGGCGAGGGCGCCAAGUUCCUCCUCUUCGUCAACAACCUCAUCUUCGAACGCAACCUCGGCUCCGCGCCGCCGCUGCACUCGUUGGAGAUCGACGCCGACGUCGAGGUGCGCCUCGCCUGCUCUUACUGCAAGCUGCUUGACUGCGACUGCAACUUCGACGACUACCGCCACCGUCGCGAGGUCAAUGCCCAGGUCGACGACUGGGUCAGGCAUGCCCUGCGGGCGGGCCGCGCCCGCUCGCUCAGGGCCUGCUUCGGUGAGACCCGGUGGAAGCCCCGGCGCGCCCUCCCUUUCGCUUCACCGCAUCUGACGACGAUUCACCUCGACGCCGUUUGCCUCAGAGGCGGCCAGCUGGACUUCUCCUGCUGCCCGGCGCUGCUGCGGCUGGAUCUCGUGCUCUGCAGCCUCCACGGGGACGCGCUGGUGUCGCCCUCGCUGGAGCGCCUCGCCAUCAACGACUGCCACACCGACAUCUUUCAAGACCCCAACGCACCCGAUGAAAGGUUCCACAUGAGCUUGUCCACGCCAAGACUCCGUUUUGUGGAGAUAUCUGAUAACUACGACAAGGAACAGUUCCUUGAGAUGGCGCCAUGGUUGACGGAGGAGAGCAUCUCAUACUAUUGA
rnacentral:rRNA from 1 species